rnacentral:rRNA from 1 species
GCCUACCAAGACUGUGAUCAAUAGCUGAUUUGAGAGGAUGAUCAGCCACAUUGGGACUGAGACACGGCCCAAACUCCUACGGGAGGCAGCAGUGGGGAAUCUUGCACAAUGGAGGAAACUCUGAUGCAGCGAUGCCGCGUGAGUGAAGAAGGCCUUUGGGUUGUAAAGCUCUUUCGUCGGGGAAGAAAAUGACUGUACCCGAAUAAGAAGG